rnacentral:lncRNA from 11 species
GACUCCACGGCCUUUUUUUUUUUUUUUUUUUGCAAAACUACAACUCCUGGGACCUGGCAGUGUUUUUUGCAAAACUACAACUCCCGGGAUUCUAAAGCCUUUUUUUUUUUUGCCAAACUACAACUCCUGAGACUUCGCAGUGGUUUUUUUUGCAAAGCUACAACUCCCAGGACUCCACAGCCUUUUUCCCCCUUUUUUAAAAAUCUUUUUGCAAAACUACAACACCUGGGACUUCACAGAGUUUUUUUUUUUUUUGCAGAACUACAACUCUCAGGACUCCGCAGCCUUUUGUGGCAAAAUUACAAUUCCCAGGACACCGUAGCCUUUUUACAAACUACAGCUUCCAGGACUCUGUCAUCUUUUUGCAAAACUACAACUCCCAGGACUCCACAACUACGUAAAAAAAAAAAAACAACAACAACUGUCAGGACUCUGCAGUCUUUUUGCAAAACUUCAACUCCUAGGACUCCACAGCCUUUUGCAAAACUGUAACUUCCAGGACUUCGCAGCCUUUUUGGGGCAAAACUACAACUUCCAAGGACUCCAUAGCUAUGGCAAUUAGAAGGGGUGUCUAAUAAAAAAUGAGACCCUUAAGUGACUCUUUAACCGUUUUCUUAGCAAAAUUUGCUCUGAAGGGGUUUCUCCCUUUUGCCUUGCAUCUACACUGUAGAAAUAAAUGCGGUUUGACACCACUUGAGCUGCUCUGGUUCAAUGCUCUGGAAUCUUGGGAGUCGUGGUUUCUUGAAGCAUCUGCACAAAGGACAAAGACUUUGUUUAGUGACAACUGCAGGAUUCCAUUGCAUUGAUCAAGUUGUGUCAAACCGCAUUAAUAUUGCAGUAUAGACGCACCCUGAGAUAUCCUUGGUGAAAUGCCUGCAAUCCCUGGGUUGAAGUUGGGAUCUAAAAGGCAAGGGAUUCUCCAUCUCAAAAGGAAACCUGGUAAUUUCUGGAGUCCUUACAUGACCGACGGUGACCUUCGUCCAUCCAAGUUUGGCAAUUCUUUGCACCAGUUUGGUCAUCCUUGGCAUCCUUCUGCAAGCAACACGCCUGGAUGCUCACAGCAGCCAGCUGAAGAACAUAUGUAACCCUGCUUGUUACAGACAAUAAAAUACAUUCCUGGGUGUUCCAAGGAAAACAGGCGAAGGGGAUACUCCCUUUUCCGACAAAAGCCCAAGUCCCUCCGGCCGAAUUUGGUAAGGCUUGGCUUCUGAACUUGGAAGGGUUUUGAUCCAAAAAGAACUCCAAAUCCAUCCCGGAUGUUGCCUUUUCAUCAGAUUGUUUGGAGGCUUUCAAGCUUUCUUCUUUUUGUCAUUCUCCACGAAGGAAGUUGCCUUGGACCUUAGUCCAUCUUGUGAUCUUCUUUGGAUCUUUAGGAAGCUCUCUCCUUCCUUCCUUCCUUCGGUUGAUCCAUCCAUCCUUCCUUCCAUGGGGAAGCUGCCUUGGAACUAGUUUAUCUUUGCAACUUUCAUCAGAUCUUUGAGGUCCCUUUCCUUAUCUAUGGAUUUCUGAUGGCCUGAUGAGAUCAUCUAGAUGGCCUUUGAGGGUCCCUUUCCUUACCAAUGGUCUUAUGAAACCACCUAGGUGGUCUUUGAGGUCCCUUUCCUUACCUAUGGUCUUCUGAUGGCCUUAUGAGGCCGUCUAGAUGGCCUUUGAGGAUCCCUUUCCUUACCGAUGGUCUUAUGAGAUUGUCUAGAUGAUCUUUGGGGGCCCCUUUUCUUACCUAUGAUCUCAUGAAACCACCUAGGUGGUCUUUGAGGUCCCUUUCCUUACCUAUGGUCUUCUGAGACCAUCUAGAUGGUCUUUGGAGGUCUCUUUGCUUAGCUAUGGCCUUAUGAGAGCAUCUAGAUGGCUUUUGGAGGUCACUUUCCUUACCUAUAGUCCUAUGAGACUGUCUAGAUGGCCUUUGAGGGUCCCUUUCCUUAUCUAUGGUCAUCUGAUGGCCUGAUGAGAACAUCUAGAUGGCCUUUGGGGGCCCCUUUCCUUACCUAUGGUCUUAUGAGACCAUUUAGAUGGUCUUUGGAGGUCUCUUUGCUUGCCUAUGGUUUUUUGAGAUCGUCUUCUACACCAUAGAAUUGAUCCAGUUUGACACUGCUUUACUUACCAUGGCUCAACACUAUGGAAUUACAGUUUAGUGAGACACCGGCACUCUUUGGCAGAGAAGGUAAACGGACAUAUAAACUCCCAAAAUGUUAUAGCUUUGAAUCAUUAAAGUGGUAUCAAAUCAGCAUUAAUUCUAUAGUGUAGAUGCAAUAUGCAGUGACCCAGUGAGAUCCAACUCUUGAGUCUCAAACACGUGCACGACAAGACAAUGUGAAUUAUUUCACAACCAACUUUCAUGCCAUAAAAGUUUGAAAAGUUUUAUUUUCGAGGCAAAGAGGAAAGUAACGCAGCCAACUUUGGCUCAUUAAGAGCCACGGAAACCUUUGGCCUCGGAAAAUCCCUUGGUCAGGAAGGCAAGCUGAAAAGCAUAAAACAACCCGCUCUAAAUUAAAACCAAUCUAAUAAGGUCUCGAGGGAGUAACAGCCAAGGCUUGACUGCCUUUCUAUCAACUCCGUGUAAUAGAGCUUUUAGGGCGGAGGGGGGGGGAAAUCAUCUUGAAAAGGAAAUUCCUCGCAAGUGAAGUCAUUUCUUGAGCGAUCAGCACAUUCCAACUUCUGGCAAAGGCAAAGUCCAAAAGAAAAAUAUCACUAUUUACAAUCUAUAUAAAAUGUGCAACUCUCCGAAAAGAGGGAGGGGGAAAAAAGCGAUGAGAAGGGGAAACACAGACCACCAAAUACUGAGCCAGACUUCGGCCGGGUUUAAUAACAUGGCGUUUUAAUAAAUAACUGGCUGCCUCUCGAAAUAUUAUGCCUCCGAGGCUGAUUUAUGGGAGCUUCUCCGCCAAGACUAUUCCAUCCUGAAAUAAAAGGUCUUCUACAGGAAUUUGGUGCAGAAAAAUGGCUGGACCCGGAGCUACCGAGUAAUUAAUGAUCCAUCAUUUUAAAAAAAUAGAGAAAAUGUGGGGAGAAGGGACCUCUUACAAUAUAUUGCUGGGAAAAAAUAAAUCCCUAUGGAAAAAAAAGAGUGAUUCAACUCUAAAGUUGACUACAGUAGAGUCUCACUUAUCCAAGCCAUUUUUGUAGUCAAUGUUUUCAAUAUAUCGUGAAAUUUUGGUACUAAAUUCGUAAAUACAGUAGAGUCUCACUUAUCCAAGCCUCGCUUAUCCAAGCCAUUUUUGUACUCAAUGUUUUCAAUAUAUCGCGAUAUUUUGGUGCUAAAAUUUAUAAAUACAGUACAGUAGUGUCUCACUUAUCCAAGCCUCACUUAUCCAGCCAUUGUUGUAGUCAUGUUUCAUAUAUUGGGAUAUUUGGUACUAA